rnacentral:misc_RNA from 1 species
AAGUCGUAACAAGGUCUCCGUAGGUGAACCUGCGGAGGGAUCAUUACUGAACGAUCAUCCUUGAUCUUCUUACCCUCAAACCACUGUGGAACACGAGAUGUGCUUCGGCGCCAGUCGGCGCCGCCUUUAUGCUUCAACAAUGUCUUUUUUUGUCUGAAGAACUGAAUGUCAAAACUUUCAACAACGGAUCUCUUGGCUCUC